AACGAACGCUGGCGGCAGGCUUAACACAUGCAAGUCGAACGCAUCCUUCGGGAUGAGUGGCAGACGGGUGAGUAACACGUGGGAACCUACCCAAAGGUACGGAAUAACACAGGGAAACUUGUGCUAAUACCGUAUGUGCCCUUCGUGGGAAAGAUUUAUCACUUUUGGAUGGGCCCGCGUAGGAUUAGGUAGUUGGUGGGGUAAUGGCCUACCAAGGCGACGAUCCGUAGCUGGUCUGAGAGGAUGAUCAGCCACACUGGGACUGAGAGACGGCCCAGACUCCUACGGGAGGCAGCAGUGGGGAAUAUUGGACAAUGGGCGCAAGCCUGAUCCAGCCAUGCCGCGUGAGUGAUGAAGGCCUUAGGGUUGUAAAGCUCUUUCAGCUGGGAAGAUAAUGACGGUACCAGCAGAAGAAGCCCCGGCUAACUUCGUGCCAGCCGCCGCCGUAAUAC
rnacentral:rRNA from 1 species